rnacentral:rRNA from 1 species
UUAAGUGACUAAGCGUACAAGGUGGAUGCCUUGGCAAUCAGAGGCGAAGAAGGACGUGCUAAUCUGCGAAAAGCUUGGAUGAGUCGAUAAGAGGCGCUUAAUCCAAGAUAUCCGAAUGGGGAAACCCAGUAGAUGAAGAAUCUACUAUCAACAAGUGAAUUCAUAGCUUGUUGAGGCAAACCGGGAGAACUGAAACAUCUAAGUACCCCGAGGAAAAGAAAUCAACCGAGAUUUCGUCAGUAGCGGCGAGCGAAAGCGAAAGAGCCAGUAAGUGAUAACAGUAUGGUUAGGAGAAUGUGUUGGGAAGCACAAUCAAAGAGGGUGAUAAUCCCGUAUCUAAAAACCAUAUUGUGGUACUAAGCUAACGAGAAGUAGGGCGGGACACGUGAUAUCCUGUUUGAAGAAGGGGGGACCAUCCUCCAAGGCUAAAUACUCCUGAUUGACCGAUAGUGAACCAGUACUGUGAAGGAAAGGCGAAAAGAACCCCGGUGAGGGGAGUGAAAUAGAACCUGAAACCUUGUACGUACAAGCAGUGGGAGCCCCAUCACUUAAUCCGAUUAGAAGGUGAUGAAAAGCAACCGCACUUAAACAAUGGUAAGAGGAGCGAAGCGAGUCAAACCACCCAAAAGAAGCAGUGGGAUUAAGUGAUGGGGUGACUGCGUACCUUUUGUAUAAUGGGUCAGCGACUUAUAUUUUGUAGCGAGGUUAACUGAAUAGGGGAGCCGAAGGGAAACCGAGUCUUAACUGGGCGAGUAGUUGCAAGGUAUAGACCCGAAACCCGGUGAUCUAGCCAUGGGCAGGUUGAAGGUUGGGUAACACUAACUGGAGGACCGAACCGACUAAUGUUGAAAAAUUAGCGGAUGACUUGUGGCUGGGGGUGAAAGGCCAAUCAAACCGGGAGAUAGCUGGUUCUCCCCGAAAUCUAUUUAGGUAGAGCCUUGAGGUGACACCUUUGGGGGUAGAGCACUGUUUCGGCUAGGGGGCCAUCCCGGCUUACCAACCCGAUGCAAACUACGAAUACCAAAGAGUGAUACUCAGGAGACACACGGCGGGUGCUAACGUCCGUCGUGGAGAGGGAAACAACCCAGACCGCCAGCUAAGGUCCCCAAGUCUAUAUUAAGUGGGAAACGAAGUGGGAAGGCUUAGACAGCUAGGAUGUUGGCUUAGAAGCAGCCAUCAUUUAAAGAAAGCGUAAUAGCUCACUAGUCGAGUCGGCCUGCGCGGAAGAUGUAACGGGGCUGAAAUAUAGCACCGAAGCUGCGGCAUCAGAAUUUAUUCUGUUGGGUAGGGGAGCGUUGUGUAAGCGGAAGAAGGUUCAUCGAGAGGUGGGCUGGACGUAUCACAAGUGCGAAUGCUGACAUAAGUAACGAUAAAACGGGUGAAAAACCCGUUCGCCGGAAGACCAAGGGUUCCUGUCCAACGUUAAUCGGGGCAGGGUGAGUCGGCUCCUAAGGCGAGGCUGAAAAGCGUAGUCGAUGGGAAACAGGUUAAUAUUCCUGUACUUGGUAAAGCUGCGAUGUGGGGACGGAGUAGGUUAGGUUAUCGCACUGUUGGAUAUGUGCGUUUAAGUUGGUAGGUGGGAAGUUUAGGCAAAUCCGGGCUUCCUUAACACAGAGAGAUGAUGACGAGGCUCUACGGAGCUGAAGUAACUGAUACCACACUUCCAGGAAAAGCCACUAAGCGAAAGGCUUUACUAAACCGUACUGAAAACCGACACAGGUGGUCAGGUAGAGAAUACUCAGGCGCUUGAGAGAACUCGGGUGAAGGAACUAGGCAAAAUAGCACCGUAACUUCGGGAGAAGGUGCGCCGGCGUAGAUUGUAAGGGCUAGCCCCUGAAGGUUGAACCGGUCGAAGAUACCAGCUGGCUGCAACUGUUUAUUAAAAACACAGCACUCUGCAAACACGAAAGUGGACGUAUAGGGUGUGAUGCCUGCCCGGUGCUGGAAGGUUAAUUGAUGGUGUAAUCGCAAGAGAAGCACCUGAUCGAAGCCCCAGUAAACGGCGGCCGUAACUAUAACGGUCCUAAGGUAGCGAAAUUCCUUGUCGGGUAAGUUCCGACCUGCACGAAUGGCAUAAUGAUGGCCAGGCUGUCUCCACCCGAGACUCAGUGAAAUUGAAAUCGCCGUGAAGAUGCGGUGUACCCGCGGCUAGACGGAAAGACCCCGUGAACCUUUACUAUAGCUUGACACUGAACAUUGAAUUUUGAUGUGUAGGAUAGGUGGGAGCCUUUGAAGCAGUGACGCCAGUCAUUGUGGAGGCGACCUUGAAAUACCACCCUUUAACGUUUGAUGUUCUAACGAAGAUGACGAAACGUGGUCUCGGACAGUGUCUGGUGGGUAGUUUGACUGGGGCGGUCUCCUCCCAAAGCGUAACGGAGGAGCACGAAGGUUUGCUAAUCACGGUCGGACAUCGUGAGGUUAGUGCAAUGGUAUAAGCAAGCUUAACUGCGAGACAGACAAGUCGAGCAGGUACGAAAGUAGGUCAUAGUGAUCCGGUGGUUCUGAAUGGAAGGGCCAUCGCUCAACGGAUAAAAGGUACUCCGGGGAUAACAGGCUGAUACCGCCCAAGAGUUCAUAUCGACGGCGGUGUUUGGCACCUCGAUGUCGGCUCAUCACAUCCUGGGGCUGAAGUAGGUCCCAAGGGUAUGGCUGUUCGCCAUUUAAAGUGGUACGCGAGCUGGGUUUAGAACGUCGUGAGACAGUUCGGUCCCUAUCUGCCGUGGGCGUUGGAUGAUUAAUUGGGGCUGCUCCUAGUACGAGAGGACCGGAGUGGACGCAUCACUGGUGUUCCAGUUGUCUCGCCAGAGGCAUUGCUGGGUAGCUAAGUGCGGAAGAGAUAAGUGCUGAAAGCAUCUAAGCACGAAACUUGCCAAGAGAUGAGUCAUCCCUGACUUUAAGUCAGUAAGGGUUGUUGUAGACUACGACGUAGAUAGGUCUGGUGUGUAAGUGUAGUGAUAUAUUGAGCUAACAGAUACUAAUUGCCCGAGAGGCUUAACUAU